ACACGUAGGGGCCUGACGUUGUUCGGAAUCAUUGGGCGUAAAGGGCGCGCAGGCGGCCGUCCAAGUCCGGUGUUAAAUGGUCGGGCUCAACCCGAUCAUGCGCUGGAAACUGGGCGGCUGGAGUCCCGGAGGGGAUGCCGGAAUUCCAGGUGUAGGGGUGAAAUCUGUAGAUAUCUGGAAGAACACCGAUGGCGAAGGCAGGCAUCUGGCCGGAGACUGACGCUGAGGCGCGAAGGCGCGGGGAGCGAACAGGUUUAGAUACCCUGGUAGUCCGCGCAGUAAACGAUGCGCACCAGGUGUCGGGCGGCAGCGCCCGGUACCGGAGCAAACGCGAUGAGUGCGCCGCCUGGGGAGUAUGCCCGCAAGGGUGAAACUCAAAUGAAUUGGCGGG
rnacentral:rRNA from 1 species